rnacentral:snoRNA from 1 species
UCGUCAGUAAGGGUAAUCCUUACCUGUUCCUCCUUUAGGAGAACAGAGAUAAAAUGAUGAUUGGAGCUCUCAUGAUACGUGAUUAGCGUCUCCGUGUGAGCAGGAAAAAAAAAUAGAAUAAACCCAUGCAUGUCUGAA